GACAGUAUGGCCGAGUGGUUAAGGCGGGAGACUCGAAUUCAUUUCAAGCCAUCUACUGGGCUCUGCCCGCGCAGGUUCGAAUCCUGCUGCUGUCG
rfam:Cyberlindnera jadinii NRRL Y-1542 unplaced genomic scaffold CYBJAscaffold_12, whole genome shotgun sequence.